UUCGCCCUUUUCCGGUUGAUCCUGCCGGACCUGACUGCUAUCGGAUUGAUACUAAGCCAUGCGAGUCAUUGUAGCAAUACAAGGCAGACGGCUCAGUAACGCGUAGUCAACCUAACCUAUGGACGGGAAUAACCUCGGGAAACUGAGAAUAAUGCCCGAUAGAACACUAUAUCUGGAAUGGUUUGUGUUCCAAAUGAUUUAUCGCCGUAGGAUGGGACUGCGGCCUAUCAGUUUGUUGGUGAGGUAGUGGCCCACCAAGACUAUUACAGGUACGGGCUCUGAGAGGAGUAGCCCGGAGAUGGGUACUGAGACACGGACCCAGGCCCUAUGGGGCGCGGCAGGCGAGAAAACUUUGCAAUGUGCGAAAGCACGACAAGGUUAAUCCGAGUGAUUUGUGCUAAACGAAUCUUUUGUUAGUCCUAGAACCACUAACGAAUAAGGGGUGGGCAAGUUCUGGUGUCAGCCGCCGCGGUAAAACCAGCACCUCAGGUGGUCAGGAUGAUUAUUGGGCCUAAAGCAUCCGUAGCCGGCUCUGUAAGUUUUCGGUUAAAUCUGUACGCUUAACGUACAGGCUGC
rnacentral:rRNA from 1 species